CAAAUUUCUGAAAGGUCAACAAUCUGUUUUUAAAUCUCAGCAAAGGAGAAAGUUAACGCCCAGAGAAGCCAAACAUACAAGAUUAAUGAUCUCCACGUACUGCAGGGAGAAGCCAACACCAGCUGGGGAAUAGGCCUGCCAUGGACAAUGAAGGUGAUGCAGGCAAAGCUGCUGAUGUGUUCAUUCAGGGCUGAAUUUAAAUCAUGGCUGAGGAUUAUACGGGAUCUCUAGGAACCACAUGAUUGGAAGUGCCUACAUCUGUUUCAAGCCUGGGGAGCACCGAGAGAGAGGAGGACAGAAACUUAUCUCUGCUGCAUUCUUCAGUUCCUGUCAUUCUAUCUCAAAGAAGCCUGGGGGUCUUCAGAAGGUUCUGACUGUUUCUCAUUCUCUGGGCUGGAGACUACUCUAAAGACGUGCAUAUAAAUGUGUCUUUCUCACAACCAUGUAGUUGCCAGGUAAGAGCAUGGUUUGGGGUUGCACUUUCCUGGGGAUUCCCUGCUUUGGUAUGUAACAGCAAAAAGCUCUGACUUGCUCCAAGAUAAGACUUAGGCAACAAAGCAUAGUUCUAAAAAAAUAGUAGGCAGACCUUACUACAGAAGGGCAACAGCAAGAAUACAGCCUGGGAGAAACUAUUCAUUCUCACUGGAUUUUCCUUGAAUGUGAGAUGACCAGAUUGGGAGUAUAUCCUAUAAGCAAAAGUAAGAAGUGUAGGGGGAAAAUCCACCUUAACUCAAAUAAGUUCUGGGUGUCAGGGUCCCUUUUAAUGGAUUAAAUUUACCAAACUGCAUAAUGAGUAAGAAUGAAAUCAUACACCAAAGUUAAAGCUGAGAUAAAUACUUUCCCCAUCAGAGCAUUUAUCAUUUCAACAACCCAAAGGCAGUGUCCUCUGGAGGCAAAGGAAGUAGGCUCAUAACCCAGCUUUGCCACUUACUCCAGGUAUGACAUUAGGUAAAUCAACUCACCUCUCUGAGCCUCAGUUUCCUUAUCUAUAAAAUCAAGAGGUUGGAUUGAUACAGAGAUGAGGGACUUGGAGCAGAUUGAGAUACACAUUUUUGAACAUGG
rnacentral:lncRNA from 1 species